GUGGGGAAUAUUGGGCAAUGGGCGCAAGCCUGACCCAGCAACGCCGCGUGAAGGAAGAAGGCUUUCGGGUUGUAAACUUCUUUUACCAGGGACGAAACAAAUGACGGUACCUGGUGAAUAAGCCACGGCUAACUACGUGCCAGCAGCCGCGGUAAUACGUAGGUGGCGAGCGUUAUCCGGAUUUAUUGGGUGUAAAGGGCGUGUAGGCGGGACAGCAAGUCAGAUGUGAAAACCAGAGGCUCAACCUCUGGCCUGCAUUUGAAACUGUUGUUCUUGAGUGUCGGAGAGGUAAUCGGAAUUCCGUGUGUAGCGGUGAAAUGCGUAGAUAUACGGAGGAACACCAGUGGCGAAGGCGGAUUACUGGACGAUAACUGACGCUGAGGUUCGAAAGCGUGGGUAGCAAACAGGAUUAGAAACCCGUGUAGUCC
rnacentral:rRNA from 1 species